rnacentral:rRNA from 1 species
AUUGAACGCUGGCGGCAGGCCUAACACAUGCAAGUCGAACGAGUGGCGGACGGGUGAGUAAUGUCUGGGAAACUGACUGAUGGAGGGGGAUAACUACUGGAAACGGUAGCUAAUACUGCAUACCAUAGGAUGUGCCCAGAUGGGAUUAGCUAGUAGGUGGGGUAACGGCGCACCUAGGCGACGAUCCCUAGCUGGUCUGCGAGGAUGACCAGCCACACGUGAACUAGUACACGGUCCAACCUCCUCCGGCAGGCAGCAGUGGGGAAUAUUGCACAAUGGGCGCAAGCCUGAUGCAGCCGUGCCGCGUGUAUGAAGAAGGCCUUCGGGUUGUAAAGUACUUUCAGCGGGGAGGCGUUACCCGCAGAAGAAGCACCGGCUAACUCCGUGCCAGCCGCCGCGGUAAUAC